AUGUCUUUACAUAAUUUUUGCACGGUAUGUAGGAUACCUUUUGAGGGAAAAUUAGAUGAACCACACCUUAAAGAUGUAGAUGGCUUUGUUAACACUAUCACUGUAGGGGAUCCAAAGAAGGGUUCCGAUGCGAGAAUCUCUAGUAUACACUUUCCCGUUUUAUGCUACUUUGCCAUAUUUGCUAGUAGAUGCUUAAUUGAUCGUGGAAAUAGUGGAAACUUUAGUGUUCCUGAUAUUAUUAUUCUUCACCAUGCCUUGUUUGGUAAAAAUAGUUUUAGUAUGGGUGCCGUCAUUGCUAAACGGCUAAGCCUGAAUCGUACAAAAGGCCCCAUCUUUGGAGGUAUCUAUCCUGCACGUCUGGCUAAAUAUUUUGAGAUACCUAUUAGGCACCAUGAGAAAGAGGAGACAAUAUUGCCUCCUUACAUUUUAGAUUACAGGAGCAUGGUAGCGCAUGAGUUUAUUGUUGACAACGAAGAUAAGAUGCUUCUGUAUAACCUGAGAUUUAAUAAGAAACACAAUGAGACUAUUAUUCGCCCGCGCCUCUGUUGUUUGAUUUGA
rnacentral:rRNA from 1 species